rnacentral:rRNA from 1 species
CCUACGGGAGGCAGCAGUGGGGAAUUUUGGACAAUGGGCGCAAGCCUGAUCCAGCAAUGCCGCGUGAGUGAAGAAGGCCUUCGGGUUGUAAAGCUCUUUUGUCAGGGAAGAAACGGUGAUUUCUAAUACAGAUUGCUAAUGACGGUACCUGAAGAAUAAGCACCGGCUAACUACGUGCCAGCAGCCGCGGUAAUACGUAGGGUGCAAGCGUUAAUCGGAAUUACUGGGCGUAAAGCGUGCGCAGGCGGUUUUGUAAGACUGUCGUGAAAUCCCCGGGCUCAACCUGGGAAUGGCGAUGGUGACUGCAAGGCUAGAGUUUGGCAGAGGGGGGUAGAAUUCCACGUGUAGCAGUGAAAUGCGUAGAUAUGUGGAGGAACACCGAUGGCGAAGGCAGCCCCCUGGGUCAAAACUGACGCUCAUGCACGAAAGCGUGGGGAGCAAACAGGAUUAGAUACCCUGGUAGUCCACGCCCUAAACGAUGUCUACUAGUUGUCGGGUUUUAAUUAACUUGGUAACGCAGCUAACGCGUGAAGUAGACCGCCUGGGGAGUACGGUCGCAAGAUUAAAACUUCAAAGGAAUUGAACGGCUUGAGACGNGCGAGACGACACGAGGAGGAGG